rnacentral:rRNA from 1 species
AAUUGGCGAGCGUUGUUCGGAAUUACUGGGCUUAAAGGGCGCGUAGGCGGUGAGAUAAGUCCGUGGUGAAAUCCUAUGGCUUAACCAUAGAAUUGCCUCGGAAACUGUCUUACUUGAGUCAGCGAGGGGAUGGUGGAAUUCCUGGUGUAGCAGUGAAAUGCGUAGAUAUCAGGAGGAAGGCCGGUGGCGAAGGCGACCAUCUGGCGCUGAACUGACGCUGAGGCGCGAAAGCGUGGGUAGCAAACAGGAUUAGAUACCCUGGUAGUCCACGCCCUAAACGGUGGGCAUUAGGUGUAGGGCUCGUAAGGGUUCUGUGCCGUAGGGCAACCAUUAAAUGCCCCGCCUGGGGAGUACGGCCGCAAGGUUGAAACUCAAAGGAAUUGACGGGGGCCCGCACAAGCGGUGGAGCAUGUGGUUUAAUUCGACGCUACGCGAAGAACCUUACCUGGGUUUGACAUGUUAGUGGUAAGAACCCGAAAGGGGGAUGACCUGUAGCAAUACAGGAGCUAUCACAGGUGCUGCAUGGCUGUCGUCAGCUCGUGUCCUG